UACAGAGGCCCCAAGCAUUAUCCGGAAUCACUGGGCGUAAAGGGUGUCUAGGCGGUCAUGUUAGUCUUCCGUAAAAUCCGUGGGCUCAACCUACGGUGGGCGGAGGAAACGGCAUGACUAGAGGUUGGCAGAGGUGUGUGGAACUCACGGUGUAGGGGUGAAAUCCGUUGAUAUCGUGGGGAACACCAAAGGCGAAGGCAGCACACUGGGCCAAAUCUGACGCUAAAGCACGAAAGCCAGGGGAGCGAACGGG
rnacentral:rRNA from 1 species